UACGGAGGGGGCUAGCGUUGUUCGGAAUUACUGGGCGUAAAGCGCACGUAGGUGGAUUGCUAAGUCAGGGGUGAAAUCCCGAGGCUCAACCUCGGAACUGCCUUUGAUACUGGCAAUCUCGAGUCCGGGAGAGGUGAGUGGAAUUCCUAGUGUAGGGGUGAAAUUCGUAGAUAUUAGGAAGAACACCAGUGGCGAAGGCGGCUCACUGGUCCGGCACUGACGCUGAGGUGCGAAAACGUGGGGAGCAAACAGG
rnacentral:rRNA from 1 species